rnacentral:rRNA from 1 species
UAGAUGCGAGAGUAGAGCAUAUCAAUAAGCGGAGGAAAAGAAACUAACAAGGAUUCCCUUAGUAACGGCGAGUGAAGCGGGAAGAGCUCAAAUUUGAAACCUUCAAGGUUUUACCUUGACGAAUUGUAGUUUAAAGAAGUGUUUUCUGUUGGAGUUUUGGUAAAAGUUCUUUGGAAUAGGACAUCAUAGAGGGUGAGAAUCCCGUAUUUGACCAUUAUUUCCAGCUGUGUGAUACACUUUCAAAGAGUCGGAUUGUUUGGGAAUGCAGUCCAAAAUGGGUGGUAAAUUUCAUCUAAAGCUAAAUAUUGGCGAGAGACCGAUAGCGAACAAGUACCGUGAGGGAAAGAUGAAAAGAACUUUGAAAAGAGAGUUAAACAGUACGUGAAAUUGUCAAAAGGGAAGCGUUUGACACCAGUGUUGUUUUCUCGAAAAUCAAUUAAAAAUGAUGGGAUUUUGUGUUGUAUUGACUUUAUCAGCUUUCUGCACUUUUUUCUUAUCUUUUUUAAUGCACUUUUCGUUUAACAAGUCAACAUCAAUUUCUUUUGUUGUAAAAGAGUCAUUGGAAGGUGGCUUUUUCUUCGGAAAAAGUGUUUAUAGCCUUGUGCCUCUGCAAUCGGAGAGAUUGAGGUCUGCAGCGUAGAUCCUUCGGGGUUAGAUACAUUUGUGCUAAGUUAUAGUCUUUCAUAGACAACUUGUUGACUAUAAUUAAUCUUGUAACUUACUCGCUUACGCUAUUUUACCUACGCUUAGGAUGUUGACACACGCGCGUGCUCG